UAAGCUGCACAUUUUCAGGUUACUUUACACCUUGUAUUGACACAUAUUUGACACUGUACCCUUGGAUGUUCAUCGCGGAGGCCUUGUAAUCCUUGCACGCGUUUCCUUUCGUGGCGCCUAGGCAGAAGACUUGCGAUGACUGCGAACGUGUGCUGGAUUGGAUGUCUGUCAUUUUUGUUGAGUUGGAUGUCUGCCUGGUGAUGUUACACAUGCAUGCAUCUUGACGCAUCUCCUGCUAGCAACCGUUUAGGGUGCUGCUUGGCUUCGGAGGCUGCCGUUUCACGGCGUCAAUGACGAUGACUGCGCCACAUGUUACAAGGAAUUGCGAUUGAUCCUCUCUACUUACGCCCUCUAACCUAACGCCCUGUUGUCACAAGCAGAGCAACAAAUCUGCAAGCAUUAGCAACCCAACAUCUGUAUCGCUCCACUCUACACCCCUGACGUCGCCCGCACACAGCUUUGCUGUAACAACAACUUUUUGCAGAGCAGUGAAAAUCACAGGCAGAACUUCCAAACGCUCAAGUCCCCGUGGACAUCUGAAAAGACACGUCUGAAUUAAAAUCACAAUUGAGUGUCGACACAGCAAUUCCGAAUCCCCAAGCGCACAUGACAUGGCGCGCCCAUAGCGUUAAGACCCGACGGGAACAAGCUGCAAACAUAGCUAGCAUUCUGAGUCUUGGUACGUCUCUCAGUAUAUCGGUGCAUCGCACUCAUGUAUACGGCCGCGUAUGCACGCCACGAGGGCCAAGACUGCCAUGCGAAACUGAAGUUGCACGACCACCAAACAAAACACAACGAAGCAAAGUUUUAUAUAACAGGUGUAUACACGACGAGUACUUUACAAAAAAUACUUAUUGCAUAGCGUACAUUAUCAGGUAUCAUACGUUAAUACAACACGUGAGGGCCCAGAAAUGCAGGUAUGCCCCGAAUGCAUGAAAGAAGCAACAUGCUCUAGCAUUCAGAUCUUCUCAGAGGACGAACAAUGCUGGUGAAAUCCCCCUUUCUAAAGAAACAUGUGGGCAUGCAUUCCAAUCCGGAUCCUCCUGCACCUGGAAAUCGGAAACCACAAUCGGAGCUAAAAGGAAUGCUGCAUAUUCCCGUGCUGGUGCCCUUGCAAAGCCAGCCCCAAACCACCCCUUCGUCAGUUCAUACGUUGGUAUACCUGCGGCACCAACUCUAUAUGCAAGUUAGGUGUGCUUAAUCCGGAAUAUGAACGCCGAUCACGCAGCAUUCAGCAAUGACCACAGGACGUGAAGCUUCCCGUGACCACAUUAUGAAAGUAAGGCCACCGCAAGCGUAUACCGAACACCAAACGUCAUUCCGAAGAAAGUACUACGGGAAUUUUGAAACCCAGAAACCUGGCAAGGAAGAGCGGAAAGCUGGCGACCAACGCAAACCUCAGCGGUGACCAGCGAAGAGCAGCUCGUUCAACACCUGUAAAAGUAUUCUUUGUCUUAGAUGGGAUCAUGAAAACUCGUAAGCCCAGAGUCAACGCCCAGAGGCAACACCCAUGAGCAACGAUAACUGGAAUUACAUCGCGGAGGCUUACAUACAGACACUAGAGAAGGUUCCGAGAGACCAUUCGCUCCUUACCAGCGCGAUUAUUGUGGCUGUAAACGUUAUCCCAAGAGCAGUGAACGGGUCUUGGUCGUGAGCAUAUACGCAGUAGCCAGUUACAAUCAUUGCACCUAUUCC
rnacentral:lncRNA from 1 species